AUGUCUUCAAACAGCUGCUGGAAUAUUGGUCCCCCACUUCUAAGUAGUGAUAUGGACAUUACAGCAGUGGAAAAAGCAAACACCUUCGAGGCCACCAUUACAAUGAAAAUGUAUGGACAGUGUAAAAAUCAAACUACACAAUUUCACUAUGGGAACAGCACCAUAUCUGUGGUUAACAGCACAGAUGGCGAAGAUGAUGACAUAUUUGUGUUUCUUGAAAAGACGUGCCGUGAUUACGUCGUUAUAAAGUCGGAUGACUUCACUGACAUUCUUGUGCUUUUAAGUAGGAGAACGUCCAUCACUGCUGAUGAGAUGGAAGCAUUUGAGAGACAAACAAAGUGUCAUAACUUGUACAAACCACAGGUCUUUGAUUCCGAUCAUGACUAUGAGAACUGUCCAACCUUUGAAGAUGAGAAGCCUAAACUUACUAAUUCAGAAAUGCUCCGCAUACAUCAAGGAUGGCGAAACAUGUUCUCACAGCUCUUCACAUGUGUACAAGACAGAGUUUUGUAUUACCCUCGUGCUGCCUUCCAGUGGGUGCAGUCAACAUGGAGUAAUUUGUGGUGAAUGUAGAGAGACACACUAUAAUAAAUAUAUACUUAUUUCAAUCAUGUGUACUUGAAACAGUGCUGUCUUUAGUUUAAAGAUUUGAAGAGCCUGUAGAAUGAAUAAUAAAUACUACAGUUUACUGAUGACCAAUAUUUGAAUAUUAAUUCAAAAUAUCAUUAUAAUGCAGUUGUAUCUGUCCUUCACCUCUCAACUACUAUUCAUCCAACUUGUUGAGGUCCAGAGUAAGGGCAGUGUCUAUUUUAAGGAUGCUCUAAAGAGCUGUGGUCCAGUUUUUUCCAUCACAUUACUGUUGCUAUUAAACAUUUAUGAAAUUCACUGUGGUAUCAACUGUGAUCUUCCGAAGAUUCAUUUCCUCCAACAAUCACUGUUUGGACGGAAUUUUCCAGGGGUCCUAUCUGGAUGAAUGGACAGUCAUUUGAGAGUGACAACCUCUGUAAAAGAUUUUACAUAAAGUGGAAUGCAUAUUUAGACAUUGUUGUGAUGAGACCACAUACUUCAAUAUCAACAGAACAGCAGAAUGUAAAUGUCAGAGGGUUUAGUUCAGUUCAGUUCAUUUUUAUUUCAAACAUGUGCAUUCACAAUCAUUACAAAAUAUAACAAAAAUAAAUAAGGUUAAUUUUGUCUGCUAUUCCCUACAGAAGUUCUAGGCAACGUAUCCUUGACUUUAAUUCAUGGAUCCAAAGGUGUAAUAACUGCACUUGUGAAAACUUGUGAAAGUUCUAGUCAGUAACAGCUUAAAAACAUAAAGUGAAAAUGAAAAAUUGAGCUAUAUGAAUAAGAGACACAAGAGAAUUUAAAAAUGCAAUAUGUCUCCUGCUUUUUGUCAAAGGCCAAAGUGAAAUUUUAAAUAUCAUGUGUAACAUUACUUACACACAAACUGUGGAGGACCACAAGUAUGGAGGACACAAGAGCCGCGUGGCUCUUGUGUCCUCCAUAAUUUGGUAGCAAAAAAGAAAAAAGAAAAAAAGAAAAAGGAAGAGGAUGUAAAAAGUUUAAAAAAAAAAAAAAAGAAGGUUUUUUUUAUUCCAAACAAAACCAAAAACUAAAAAAACAAAUAUCUCCAGUUGGAGCCACGUUUACAUUUUCCUGAUAUUACACCUAAAACAAUUAUAAACUGACGGUCACAAAACCUUUACUUCACGUCCUGCUUACUUGCCUAACCUUUCAUCGCCACAUGGUGGCGCGAUACACACCAGUUUUAUGAAAUCCACCAACACUUUACAACAACGCAAUAGAUUGACAAAGCAGGACGAAUUUAUGGCGAAUAAUACAUUAGAUUACAACAUAAAAUAAUCAAUUUGGGGGAAAAAUACACAAAUUAAAGACCAAAAGAGAAAAAUACUUAAAUAUGGCCCAAUUUGAGGGCAGGGCUUUGAGAUCGGUUAAGGAGAUACCAGCUUAUGGCCGUAGACCAUAAGAGGAAAAUGAAUGGGAUGACUGUUUGUCUUGUUCCUUGCUUUCUUGGGUUUUUUUUAAACUAAAGUAGAUCUGACGUGAAUUGUACUUCCGUGUCAGAUCUACGCCAUAACAAAAAACCCAUUAAAAUCCUGCUGCAGCUUUCUAUGUAACCUGAUGUGCACCUCUUGAGAAAUUUAACUAUGUAGUAUCAGGUAAAUGUUAAGAGGUAGGAACGCUUCUGCUGGGUUGUUGUUGUUGGGGGGGAUGAAAAAUAAUAAAGGACACUCCUUGGAGUAAUGGCGCGUCUCAUGCGUCUGUGAGUUAUGCCUCCAGUCAAAUAACAUCCAUAACCUCAAAUAACGGAACAUGGUGUCAGAAGACAACUGGAAACGUUAGUUGGGCAUAAGUGAAAGGUUUCGGCGUCGGUGCCAGGUUAAAGGUCAGCCACAGAGGAGCUGCGCGAGAAGAGACGUGACGUCAUGAGUCAGUUUCAUGUCACCCCGCCGGAGAAGUUCACUUUUAGGUCCGACGACUGGACCAAAUGGAUAAAGUGUUUUGACAGAUUUCGCAUCGCGUCUGGAUUGGAGACGCAAGCGGACGAAAAUCAAGUGAACGCCCUUAUCUACACUAUGGGCGAGGAGGCAGAGGACAUAUUGGUAUCCCUGCACCGGACUCCCGAAGAGGCGAGCGAUUAUGAGACC
ensembl:lncRNA